GUGGCUACAUCAGGAACCAUUUCUGUCCAUCCAUUCCAUAUGGUACUGGGCCGUGUACUGACUGGAAGCUAUUUUGGAGGCUGGAAGGGAGCCAG